GGGGUAACCCCAGCCAAGAUGGCAAGAGAUCCACACUUGUAAGUUGUAACCACAAGGUCACGAGUUCGAAUCCUUGCCCCCUUGGUUUGAGCCGGUCAGCUAUGGGUAAUCUAAGCCGGUUUACUUCUUGUGGUCCUUUGCCAGCUAGGAUCACAAGGCGAGGUUUACCUACACCCGAAAGGGUUUUGGGGUUUCCCUCGUCAUCCAAA